CUUUCCCUAUGUGAGUCAUUGUGCUCAAUCACAGAUUUUAGCCCUCUCUUAAAAAGGAUAAGCAGGAUAAAACUCCAGCAAAACCCAGUGGUAUCAGUGCUGUGCAAUGAAGUGUCUGUGAUGGGUGAAAGGAAGAGGCUCAGUUAUGAGUCAGAACUGCCCAGCACAGACUGCCCUCCUGCAGAGUGCCAUGGUGCCACCUACAGCUUCUUCUGCUCGGCUGCUGGGAAACUCCAUCAGAAGAGAGAAAGUCCAUAUCUCCUUCAAAUGGUGCACAAGAGCUGCUUGCUACGAUAGCUUUUCAGGAGAUGCCCCAGGAAGGUUCUCCAAUGGGGUUUUCCAACUGCUCAUCCUGAUGCUCAGUUGGGGAAGAGGUCCUAUUCAAAAAGGACUUUGCAUCGUUUCCCACAAUUAUCUAGAGACUCCUGUUCAUCCUGCUACUGCCACUGCUAAAACACAAAGUUAUGGAUACAGAUUUCCUCAACAGGAGGAGUGGCAAGUGCAAGAAACUUUGAGAAGUCUGGUGUAUGCAAAACCUCAAGGAAGAGCAAAGGACACUGCAGGAUUCAACAUGCUGGACAAUUACGGAAGAUGAAGAUUUCAAAGCACCUUUGAACUGUAGUAGUUAAUCAAUACUCUGGAGAAUAUAAAUCUGUGCUAAAGAUUCAGCAUUUCAAAUUAAAAUAAGGAGCUCUUCUACAGCAAAACCAGCAAAGGCCAAAGAAUGUUCUUAAUCUCUAAAGGUUAAAUAAGGAAUUUCAGAAAAAUCAGUCUGUCCAUAUCUGUCAUGCAAAAAAAUCAACUAAUGAACAUUUUGUAUCUGUUUAAAAAAUAAAAAUCUUUAAGAUAUUCA
rnacentral:lncRNA from 1 species